GAUUUAUCCCCCACCGACCGAGGACACCUGCACAGGUAACACCUCAGUAAGAACCUCAGGAUCCGCGUGUGUGUGUGUGUUACGUGAAGCUGGAGGCCUGGUUGAUCAGGGUGUGUGUGUGUGUGUGUGUGUGUGUGUGUGUGUGUGUGUGUGUGUGUGUGUGUGUGUCUGUGUGUGUGUGUGUGUGUGUGUUACGUGAAGCUGGAGGCCUGGUUGAUCAAGGUGUGUGUGUGUG